rnacentral:RNase_P_RNA from 1 species
GGAGCUCGAAAGAUGACCGCUUGGCAACAAGAGGAAAGUCCGGGCAACAUAGAGUACGGUAGUCGCUAACGGCGACCGUUCGUAAGGAUAGGGAAAGUACCACAGAGACAAUACCGCCAGCUUGCUGGUAAGGGUGAAAAGAGUGAGGUAAGAGCUCACAGUGUCUUGUAGCGAUAUAAGAUAGAGGCAAACCCUACUGGUUGCAAGGAGUGCUAUUAAACCCUGACUCGGGGAUGCACGCUCACCGCUCGAACACUAUAGCAAUGUAGUGUCUAGAUAGAUGGUCAUCGGCUUUAGCUUGCUAAAGUUACAGAACCCGGCUUAUUGAGAGCUUGUUUA